GUUGUGUCCAUAGCUAUAGAAACUGGGGCCACACUGGGAAGGCAUGCUUUCAUCUCCACCGCAGGCUCACCGCUGGCAAUAAGGGGUCAAAUAAAUCCCCCUGGAUGCAGUAAGCGGCGGCGGGGGGGCUUAUACGCUCGCACACACAGCGUGUUUACCUGGCAGAUAGAGAGAUUCAUCUCUGCCAGUCAUUUUCAGACCCGACAACAAAUUCUAUUUUGUUGAUGACGUCCCCACAAAACACUUCUCGUCCAUCGCUCCUUAUCCAGGGUGAGUAUGCAUUUGUUUUUUUUUAAUUGUAUUUAUAAAAUGUUCAACUUGUGUGUGUCCAUGAAGUGGAAACACAUACACAGCAUUGAGACUUAGCCCUGGGAUGGCCCGGUAAACAAGACAGGUAAACAGCAUCUGGAGCCAGCAGGAUCACUAAUUUCAACACACACACACACACACGGUGUUUUUUUUUUUUUUUAUGUUAUGAUCUCCUCAGAGCAUUGAGAAGGACUCAUUUUAACGUCGCUCGUAAACAGCAGAUGCACGCACGGGAGAAAUCGUCUGGAAAGGUGCCAGCCGCGCCAUUAGAACCUAUGGCAGGAGGCAACGGAGAAGGAAUGAAGAAGGGAGGAGAGGAGAGAGGGAGAAGGUCGGCAGCACCGCCGCAUGCCACAGACAGACUGACGAUAUUUGUACUGGGCUCCACACCAGGAACCUGGCUGUAAUUACACCACACACACACACACACACACACUGUUACUAGACAGACUGAGGUUUUUCAAGUGUGUCUUUAUGUCUUUCAAUCUGACCACACGUUUGGACUUCUCACCAUAAAUAACAUCCUCGUUAUCUCAGACACCUCUGUAAGAGCGCCUCUAUUUUUUGCUAGUGUUAUAAAAUGUAUUUUUAUUAUUUUUGGCUCAGGUUAAAAUCUUUAUUUUAGUUUUAUUUCAGGUGUUUUAAGUUGAUAUUAAGUGAAUAAGAGGCUAUUAAAAAAAAUAUGAAAACAUUUAUUGAAAUUGUAGCAGAACGACCUGUCGCGCAAAAUAAAUUCUAAGGAUACAUUUGUAUUUGCAAACGUAGAGAAAGCUCAUACUUGCCUAUCGUAGACACUUCAGUGGUUCAACGUGACUAUUGCCAAGCCCGUAGGAACAUAAUGCUCAUUUCACAUGUGCAAACUGUACAUCAGUGUUAUGUUGACAUGUUUCUGCAGCAAGAAGGCGGCGGAAAAAUCUGAAAAAGCGCAUUUAAAGGAAGGCAAAAUAAACGAUUAGCGGGGCUGUGCUUCGGGUAAAUAAAUAAAAAAAAAACUUGGCUCAGCUUAAGGAAUGAUUGUGGUUUUGAUUAAUAAAAAAGGCAAAUAUUUCAUUGCAGGUCCGCGGCCCGAACGGCCGAGCGCCCUUCAGACCGCCCGCGGCCUGACUUGAUUGGAUUGAUGGUUGGUCAUUGGAACGAAUGUUAUGGAAAUGACGAGAUGUCAAUAGUUAUAUUCAUGCUAGCACAAACAUGGAUUUCCCAAUUUUCUUUUGUGAAUGGUCACGCUUGUUCUCGGAGCUCCCCGGCCGGCCAAAUCCAAGGUUAAAUAAGGUCAACAAGGUUAUUGGCACAAACCACAAUUGUGAUUCUGUUUGCCUUCUCGAUGUCGGCUAUCAAUAGCUCCUUGUUGAUCGACUUCUCUCUCUCGCGCUCAGUCUCGCUUUCUGUCCGGGACUUGUGAAAGUUAUUGGAGUGUGAAUGCCUUUAACGGCCUCUGUCUGCUGCCCCGUGGAUGCUGACAUAGGUUGUCUUUUGUGGCCCGUUCCGUGCUCUUUCCCUCUUGAGCGAUUGAUGAGGUCGCAUUUGAUCAAUUGGCUGUUCCCAUUAAAGACAAAAAGACGCAUUCAUCCUUCAUUGAGACAUAAGCAGCUCGAAGUCCGAGGGAGGCGUCAUUAUUUAUUAGUUUCUUUGUUUUUAAUUCCAUUUUUUUCAUUUAUUCAUAUUUUUGAAUUUAUUUUUUCAACAUUUCCUGAGUUCUGACUUAGUGCUCAUGACUUCAGCGUACCUCAUCCCGCAUCUUCCCCCCGGCCGGCGGGGGGGGGGGGGGAAGAAAGGCAGACGCUGGUGUUUGCUGACGGCUCCGGGGGCUCGCGGCUCCCGAUUAGCAAACCAGUACGAGUCAACAUCUGCUACAUCCCUUAGACAAACUAUCUAUCGGCGCACACUCGGCCCGUUGUCGGACCGCCGCCCCGUCCCGUUUGGUUCCCAAGCGUCGAGGCAACCCCCGGGCGGCGGUGCGCGCUCACAUGUCGGCGAGACAUUUGCCAGAGACGUCCCAGUUCUGCCUGGCACCUUGGCAAGCCGUCGCCGUCUCGGCCUCCUGCGUACUUCGCAGUCGGGAGGGCCAAAGUACAAAUACUUUCUGGAUUUUUCAGGACGGUCUUUAAAGUGGUUCAAGCAACCGCCCGGGUUUAAACAGAACCAACUUUCCUUGGCUUUGUUUUUGUUAGCCAGUGCCGGUCUACCAAGUGUCUUGGCUCCAGACUCAACAGAACGCACAUGCAACAUCUGUCGUGGUCAGCGGCUUCGUUUAGACACGAGGGCUCGCGGCGGCGGCGGCGGCACGAUGGAUUUGCGGUCGCACGGAAUGCCUUGUGGUCGGGUUUCACCUCGCUCGCCUUCAUCAUUUGCCAGGCUGCAUUGUAAUGAAUUGUACUUAUUGCUUCUCUUCUUUUUUUUUUUAUGCUCAGGUUAACUGAUCACCUGAUGACUUUCACGAGAUCUCGGACUGUUCCCGCAAAGUGCUCGGAUUCUCCACAGCGCACACCUCUCCUCCGCUCACUAUGAGUUUUACCGAGGGGAGGGCGAGUGCCGCUGACCCCCAUAGGGUGGGCUCGCUCGCUCCGCGGACAUCCUAAGGCCCGUGGAGGGAAGACAAUGGACACCGACCGUCCUACAGUAACCGGCUCAGCCCGACUGUCCCCGCUGCCCACUGAGCCGUCUACGCUGCCACCUUCGUCAUGGAUCACCAAGAGACAUCCAGGGAGGGUUCUUUGAUGCCGAGCCAGGAUCAGGAGCCCAGCGUGAUCUCAACACAUCCAUCACAUCCAUGACUUGACCUGGACUUCAGUCUCAGUGGGCACGGGGAUUCAUGACAUGCCAUGACAUCAACACGGAGGCAUGACAUCAACACGCGCCGCACAACAGGUG